rnacentral:rRNA from 1 species
UGAGUAACCUGCCCUUAACUCUGGGAUAAGCCUGGGAAACUGGGUCUAAUACCGGAUAUGACUCCUCAUCGCAUGGUGGGGGGUGGAAAGCUUUAUUGUGGUUUUGGAUGGACUCNCGGCCUAUCAGCUUGUUGGUGAGGUAAUGGCUCACCAAGGCGACGACGGGUAGCCGGCCUGAGAGGGUGACCGGCCACACUGGGACUGAGACACGGCCCAGACUCCUACGGGAGCAG